UACGUAGGGCGCAAGCGUUAUCCGGAAUUAUUGGGCGUAAAGAGCUCGUAGGCGGUUUGUCGCGUCUGCCGUGAAAGUCCGGGGCUCAACUCCGGAUCUGCGGUGGGUACGGGCAGACUAGAGUGAUGUAGGGGAGACUGGAAUUCCUGGUGUAGCGGUGAAAUGCGCAGAUAUCAGGAGGAACACCUAUGGCGAAGGCAGGUCUCUGGGCAUUAACUGACGCUGAGGAGCGAAAGCAUGGGGAGCGAACAGG
rnacentral:rRNA from 1 species